UGUAAGCGUAUACCAAAGUUGUUGCAGUUAAAACGCUCGUAGUCGGAAUUUGGCAGUUCCGGAAGUGUGCACGUCGUGUGCGCACUUUGCGGGGACUGCUUUUGUGGUCUUGCGUAGGAUGAGGCACUUUCAUUAGUGAACGUCCUCACGCAACCACUCUUUACUGUGAGAAAAUCAGAGUGCUCAAAGCAGGCAUUUGCCGUGAAUGUAUUAGCAUGGAAUAAUAGAAUAGGACUCGGCUCUAUUUUGUUGGUUUGUUGGGACUGAGUAAUGAUUAAGAGGGACAGUUGGGGGCAUUUGUAUUCCGGCGCUAGAGGUGAAAUUCUUAGAUUGCCGGAAGACAAACUGCUGCGAAAGCGUCUGCCAAGGAUGUUUUCAUUGA
rnacentral:rRNA from 1 species